UACGUAGGGGGCAAGCGUUGUCCGGAUUUAUUGGGCGUAAAGAGCGUGUAGGCGGCCACACAGGUCAGCUGUGAAGACUCGAGGCUCAACCUCGAGACGUCGGUUGAAACCGUAUGGCUAGAGUCCGGAAGAGGAGAGUGGAAUUCCCGGUGUAGCGGUGAAAUGCGCAGAUAUCGGGAAGAACACCCGUGGCGAAGGCGGCUCUCUGGGACGGUACUGACGCUGAGACGCGAAAGCGUGGGGAGCGAACAGG
rnacentral:rRNA from 1 species